rnacentral:rRNA from 1 species
CCUACGGGAGGCAGCAGUGGGGAAAAUUGGGCAAUGGGCGCAAGCCUGACCCAGCAACGCCGCGUGAAGGAAGAAGGCUUUCGGGUUGUAAACUUCUUUUAAGAGGGAAGAGCAGAAGACGGUACCUCUUGAAUAAGCCACGGCUAACUACGUGCCAGCAGCCGCGGUAAUACGUAGGUGGCAAGCGUUGUCCGGAUUUACUGGGGGUAAAGGGCGUGCAGCCGGGAAGACAAGUCAGAUGUGAAAUCCCGCGGCUCAACCGCGGAACUGCAUUGGAAACUGUUUUUCUUGAGUACCGGAGAGGUCAUCGGAAUUCCUUGUGUAGCGGUGAAAUGCGUAGAUAUAAGGAAGAACACCAGUGGCGAAGGCGGAUGACUGGACGGCAACUGACGGUGAGGCGCGAAAGCGUGGGGAGCAAACAGGAUUAGAUACCCCGGUAGUC